rnacentral:rRNA from 1 species
UAGCUUGCUACCUGACCUAGCGGCGGACGGGUGAGUAAUGCUUAGGAAUCUGCCUAUUAGUGGGGGACAACAUUCCGAAAGGAAUGCUAAUACCGCAUACGCCCUACGGGGGAAAGCAGGGGAUCUUCGGACCUUGCGCUAAUAGAUGAGCCUAAGUCAGAUUAGCUAGUUGGUGGGGUAAAGGCCUACCAAGGCGACGAUCUGUAGCGGGUCUGAGAGGAUGAUCCGCCACACUGGGACUGAGACACGGCCCAGACUCCUACGGGAGGCAGCAGUGGGGAAUAUUGGACAAUGGGCGAAAGCCUGAUCCAGCCAUGCCGCGUGUGUGAAGAAGGCCUUUUGGUUGUAAAGCACUUUAAGCGAGGAGGAGGCUACUUGGAUUAAUACUCUAGGAUAGUGGACGUUACUCGCAGAAUAAGCACCGGCUAACUCUGUGCCAGCAGCCGCGGUAAUACAGAGGGUGCGAGCGUUAAUCGGAUUUACUGGGCGUAAAGCGUGCGUAGGCGGCUUUUUAAGUCGGAUGUGAAAUCCCUGAGCUUAACUUAGGAAUUGCAUUCGAUACUGGGAAGCUAGAGUAUGGGAGAGGAUGGUAGAAUUCCAGGUGUAGCGGUGAAAUGCGUAGAGAUCUGGAGGAAUACCGAUGGCGAAGGCAGCCAUCUGGCCUAAUACUGACGCUGAGGUACGAAAGCAUGGGGAGCAAACAGGAUUAGAUACCCUGGUAGUCCAUGCCGUAAACGAUGUCUACUAGCCGUUGGGGCCUUUGAGGCUUUAGUGGCGCAGCUAACGCGAUAAGUAGACCGCCUGGGGAGUACGGUCGCAAGACUAAAACUCAAAUGAAUUGACGGGGGCCCGCACAAGCGGUGGAGCAUGUGGUUUAAUUCGAUGCAACGCGAAGAACCUUACCUGGUCUUGACAUAGUAAGAACUUUCCAGAGAUGGAUUGGUGCCUUCGGGAACUUACAUACAGGUGCUGCAUGGCUGUCGUCAGCUCGUGUCGUGAGAUGUUGGGUUAAGUCCCGCAACGAGCGCAACCCUUUUCCUUAUUUGCCAGCGGGUUAAGCCGGGAACUUUAAGGAUACUGCCAGUGACAAACUGGAGGAAGGCGGGGACGACGUCAAGUCAUCAUGGCCCUUACGACCAGGGCUACACACGUGCUACAAUGGUCGGUACAAAGGGUUGCUACCUAGCGAUAGGAUGCUAAUCUCAAAAAGCCGAUCGUAGUCCGGAUUGGAGUCUGCAACUCGACUCCAUGAAGUCG